rnacentral:lncRNA from 1 species
UAUGAUUGGAAAUUGUUGUUCCAGUGCCUUCAUAUGCCACAUUUGGUCUCUUUAUCCUCUCUGUCACAGGUAACUAUCUUACUCCAAGAACAAGAAAAGUAAAUUCACUUGGCUGUCCCACAUCUCUAAGGAACCUGAUGCAUGAGUGGAGUAGAGAAGAGGAAGAGAGAAAAACUCCAGAGACCUACAGAUCAUCUGGCUGGCAGGGUCAAGUUUUCUUUGGAUUGAGGUGGAACUGUGGCUCAUGGACAUCUGAUGUGAUAGAGCAUACUCAAGACUUCUAGAUAUCUUGAGACUGUAAAAGCUGACCACCAACAGAAGGUUUUUAAAUAUCAUUCUUCUGACAAGUAAGUUCUUCAUUCUCAGAUUAUUUAUUUAUUUUUUUUUUCUCUGUGGUAUUCCUGACCUGGAUUUUAUUUUUGUAUUUAUUAUGUGGACUAUCACAUUCAUUUUCUGGGCCAAGUAAGCAUGAGUGCAAAUUGAAUAGUAUGGAAUUGCUCCUAAAUUUCCCAGCUAGAAUGAAACCUAUCAAUAUUACAGCUAGAGCUGAGAUAAAGCACUGACUCACCUAAUUAUCCCAACUUGCAGAGCCAGUGGAACUGAGGUCAUAUCUCUGGAUGUUUUGGGAAACCUUUUGCCCUUUUUUGGUUGGAAAAAUUAAAUUAGUUAAAUAUUUGCAGGAUCUUGCUGGAUUUAGGGAAAGAAAGCUAGAAGAACUUGGAAACUGCUGGAAAUAAUAGUGUCUGAGGAUAGCCUCUACAGUUAUAGGAAAGAGUGUUAGAAGAACUGGUGAGGAUUGGGAAAAGUGGAGAAGAAAAAAAAUUUGCAUUGGAAUGAGGAAGACAAUCCUUACUGAGAGGAAUAGAAAAGAAAGUUCCUUCCUGUUCAGGACUUGUUGAGAAAGAGCUUCAGAACUUAUUAAAAUUUUAGUUUUCAUAACACCCUGCAUUUUAAAACACAAAGUUAUUCUAAACAAUGAAGUUCACUUAGCCUAACUUCUUAAGUGAGAGAUCUCUUUUGGAGCAGCUCCAGAGAGCACUGCUCCAAAACAUUAAUGCAGAUUCUCAUAGCACUACUAAAUUUCAUCUUUCUUUCUAGCUUCAUAAAAUUGCUUUAAUUACUAUGUUAUUUUCUACUUCGUGGAAUAUAUUUCACUUAUUUCACUUCAGUGAAUCCAAUAGAUUUUAUGAAAUGGAGAAAAAACCCCCACCUGGUUACAGGUUGGUUCAAUUUUGAAAGUCAUGUUUUAUUACUCUGUGAUUGAUUGGUGUUGAAAUUUUAGGA